UGGGGAAUUUUGGACAAUGGACGCAAGUCUGAUCCAGCCAUGCCGCGUGCGGGAUGAAGGCCUUCGGGUUGUAAACUGCUUUUGUACGGAGCGAAAAGGUCUGCCCUAAUACGGUGGGCUCAUGACGGUACCGUAAGAAUAAGCACCGGCUAACUACGUGCCAGCAGCCGCGGUAAUACGUAGGGUGCGAGCGUUAAUCGGAAUUACUGGGCGUAAAGCGUGCGCAGGCGGUUAUAUAAGACAGAGGUGAAAUCCCCGGGCUCAACCUGGGAACUGCCUUUGUGACUGCAUAGCUAGAGCACGGUAGAGGGGGAUGGAAUUCCGCGUGUAGCAGUGAAAUGCGUAGAUAUGCGGAGGGACACCGAUGGCGAAGGCAAUCCCCUGGGCCUGUACUGACGCUCAUGCACGAAAGCGUGGGGAGCAAACA
rnacentral:rRNA from 1 species